UCUUGAGAAACAUUCUUCGAGAGUAGC
rnacentral:sRNA from 1 species